rnacentral:rRNA from 1 species
AUUCCAGCUCCAAUAGCGUAUAUUAAAGUUGUUGCAGUUAAAAAGCUCGUAGUUGGAUUUCUGGCGGGAGCGAUCGGUCCUUCACUCAGUGUUGGAACCUGAUUGUCUCCUGCCAUCCAUGGAGAAAACUUAUCUGGCAUUAAGUUGUCGGGUAGGCAAUCUCCAUCUUUUACUGUGAAAAAAUUAGAGUGUUCAAAGCAGGCUUAUGCCGUUGAAUAUAUUAGCAUGGAAUAAUAAGAUAGGACUAUGGUACUAUUUUGUUGGUUUGUGCACCAUGGUAAUGAUUAAUAGGGACAGUUGGGGGCAUUCGUAUUUAACUGUCAGAGGUGAAAUUCCUGGAUUUGUUAAAGACGGACUACUGCGAAAGCAUUUGCCAAGGAUGUUUUCAUUG